GGAGGCGGAGGGAGGCAACCCGAGGGGAGGCGGACGCCGGACGGACGGAAGCAGCCAAGCGGAUGGCUUCAAUGGCGGAUCAAACGCUCCCGAGGGUUUCGAGGCGAAAUCGUCAUCAACCGCACCAGCGCAAAAAUUGCCGGGAGAUGCCGUCAUCAUCUGUUGUGCAGUUCAACUGUCACGCUCAUCAAGUGCAAAGACCCCCUGAGAUAUCCUUGACCUCAUGACAAAAAGAGAAAAAUCCUAGCUCACAUGUACACGAUAUUUUCUAUUUGGCAAAGCCAAAACGACCUUGUGAUUUCCCGAACACAAAAUAAGUUGCUUCAAACCUUUUAGCCAGCUAAAUUCAAUAUACGCUCACAAGAGACACGCGCACACUACACGGCUUCGCUAGGACACACACUUCUUUGGCAUGCACGCUUCAGUGCUUAUGCCAGGUAAUCCAUCUCUCUUCUAUUCAGUCUCCCUGCUUUCUGUUACAUCAACCAUCAAUCACACUCGUGCUUGCCUUAUCUCAUCCUGCUUCUCUUCUUGCUUUUGUUAAGCACGGCUUUCAAAGCGGAAUCUUCCCAGAUCGGGAUAAUUAGAGACAAACUUGGGGGAGGGGUGGUAAUGGGACAAUCUGUCUGUUCAUUUCCUGAAAACCAGUUUCUGAUAGCACCAUAAAAUUUAGCAGACCUGUCUAUCAUGAGUAGACCCACAAAACAAUCGCAAGAACUGAUACCUGAAAAGUGACAAAGUCUGCCAUUUUUUUUCAU